UUUUGUGAAAUAUUUUGUGAAAUAUUUUGUGAAAAAUUAUUAGAAUUAAUUAACAACAUAAGAUCAUCCAGUUUUUUCAUUUGAUUUUUUCUUUUUAUAAAUGGUUCAGGUUUUAUAUAUAUAUUUAUUGCAUUUUUCAUAUUAUUUAAAAUAUCAUUGUAAAUUAAAAAAAAUUCUUUUUCUUUUUUAUUAAUAUUUUUAUUUUUUAAUACGGUUUGUAUAUACAAAGAAGAUAUAUGAACACAAUUUUCUAAAAUUUUAAUUAUAUCUGUAUGUACAGUACAUUCCUCUUUUACCAUUAUUAAUUUCGAUGUACCUUCCAUGGCAUCUACCUCUUCAACUACUCUUACAUUUUCACUUUCCAUGGAUUUUUUUUGCAUAUUGUACUCUUCGUUGUUACCAUCGUUUAUAUACUCAUUAUUCAAUUCUUUUAAAAAAUAAUCACUUUUUUUUAAUAAUUUUGUUUUUAAAUGGUAUAGAAUAAAUUGUACUUCCUCAAUAAAACCAUCCAUAUUAUUAUUUAGUAUAUUUUUUAAUUUAUCACAUAAUAUCUCAUCAACCCCGGAUGUUUUGUAAAAGUAAUUUUUUUUGUUGUACAAUGGGGUAUCUUCUUUGCCAAAUGGACUAUUUUCAUCGUAGAAGGGGCUGUCAUCGUCUUCUAAUGGAUCAUUCUCGCUGUAAGUAAGACGGUUCUCGUUAUUUAAAAGGGUUGCUUUUUUCCGCUCUUCUGUUUCGUCAUGUGGUUUGUCAUAUAUUUCGUUAUAUGGUUCUGUUUCUGGUUCUAUUUCUGGUUCUAUUUCUGGUUCUACUUCUACUUCUGGUUCUAUUUCUGGUUUUACUUCUGGUUCUGGUUCCUGUUCUGGCUCUACUUCUACUUCUGGUUCCUGUUCUACUUCUGGUUCCUGUUCUACUUCUGNNNNNNNNNNGUUCCUGUUCUACUUCUGGUUCCUGUUCUACUUCUGGUUCCUGUUCUGGCUCUACUUCCUGUUCUACUUCCUGUUCUACUUCCUGUUCUACUUCCUGUUCUACUUCCUGUUCUACUUCCUGUUCUACUUCCUGCUCUACCUCCUGCUCUACCCUCUUUUCCUUUAUAUCCGCUUCAACAUAAUCCGGUUCAUCCGCAGGUAUAUUUUUGUCCACAUAAAACAACCCAGUUUGACUUUUUUGCUUUUUAUUGAAAGUUAAAACAUCUUUCUCAAGAAUAUCGUUUGUUAGAGUUGUGUCAUAGUUUGUGUUUUGCAGAUUGAUUAUAUUGUUCUGUAAGUCAUGUUGCUCUGUUUUUGUUUUAUCGUCCCUAGUAGUUAUUUUAUCAUUUUCAUCAGUUAUAUAUAAUGGAGAUGUAAAGGUAGUUUGUUUAUUAAUAAAUUCGUUUAACUUUGGUAAAAGAGUAUUCUU
rnacentral:lncRNA from 1 species